CAUGCAAGUCGAACGGUAACAUUUCUAGCUUGCUAGAAGAUGACGAGUGGCGGACGGGUGAGUAAUGCUUGGGAACUUGCCUUUGCGAGGGGGAUAACAGUUGGAAACGACUGCUAAUACCGCAUAAUGUCUUCGGACCAAACGGGGCUUCGGCUCCGGCGCAAAGAGAGGCCCAAGUGAGAUUAGCUAGUUGGUAAGGUAACGGCUUACCAAGGCGACGAUCUCUAGCUGUUCUGAGAGGAAGAUCAGCCACACUGGGACUGAGACACGGCCCAGACUCCUACGGGAGGCAGCAGUGGGGAAUAUUGCACAAUGGGGGAAACCCUGAUGCAGCCAUGCCGCGUGUGUGAAGAAGGCCUUCGGGUUGUAAAGCACUUUCAGUUGUGAGGAAAAGUUAGUAGUUAAUACCUGCUAGCCGUGACGUUAACAACAGAAGAAGCACCGGCUAACUCCGUGCCAGCAGCCGCGGUAAUACGGAGGGUGCGAGCGUUAAUCGGAAUUACUGGGCGUAAAGCGCACGCAGGCGGUUUGUUAAGCUAGAUGUGAAAGCCCCGGGCUCAACCUGGGAUGGUCAUUUAGAACUGGCAGACUAGAGUCUUGGAGAGGGGAGUGGAAUUCCAGGUGUAGCGGUGAAAUGCGUAGAUAUCUGGAGGAACAUCAGUGGCGAAGGCGACUCCCUGGCCAAAGACUGACGCUCAUGUGCGAAAGUGUGGGUAGCGAACAGGAUUAGAUACCCUGGUAGUCCACACCGUAAACGCUGUCUACUAGCUGUGUGUGUCUUUAAGACGUGCGUAGCGAAGCUAACGCGCUAAGUAGACCGCCUGGGGAGUACGGCCGCAAGGUUAAAACUCAAAUGAAUUGACGGGGGCCCGCACAAGCGGUGGAGCAUGUGGUUUAAUUCGAUGCAACGCGAAGAACCUUACCUACACUUGACAUGCAGAGAACUUUCUAGAGAUAGAUUGGUGCCUUCGGGAACUCUGACCCAGGUGCUGCAUGGCUGUCGUCAGCUCGUGUCGUGAGAUGUUGGGUUAAGUCCCGCAACGAGCGCAACCCUUGGCCUUAUUUGCCAGCCUUAAGUUGGG
rnacentral:rRNA from 1 species